rnacentral:rRNA from 1 species
CCUACGGGUGGCAGCAGUGGGGAAUAUUGCACAAUGGUGGAGACCCUGAUGCAGCGACGCCGCGUGAGUGAAGAAGUAUUUCGGUAUGUAAAGCUCUAUCAGCCGGGAAGAAAAUGACGGUACCUGAUUAAGAAUCCCCGUCUAACUACGUACCAGCAGCCGCGGUAAUACGUAGGGGGCAAGCGUUAUCCGGAUUUACGGGGGGUAAAGGGAGCGUAGACGGUGAUGCAAGUCAGAAGUGAAAGCCCGGGGCUCAACUCCGGGACUGCGUUGGAAACUGUGUGACUGGAGUGCAGGAGAGGUAAGCGGAAGUCGUGGUGUAGCGGUGAAAUGCGUAGAUAUCAGGAGGAACACCAGUGGCGAAGGCGGCUUACUGGAUUGUAACUGACGUUGAGGCUCGAAAGCGUGGGGAGCGAACAGGAUUAGAUACCCGUGUAGUC